GUAGGGGGCAAGCGUUGUCCGGAUUUAUUGGGCGUAAAGAGCUCGUAGGCGGUUCGGUAAGUCGGGUGUGAAAUAUCAGGGCUCAACCCUGAGAGGCCACCCGAUACUGCCGUGACUCGAGUCCGGUAGAGGAGUGUGGAAUUCCCGGUGUAGCGGUGAAAUGCGCAGAUAUCGGGAGGAACACCCAUGGCGAAGGCAGCACUCUGGGCCGGUACUGACGCUGAGGAGCGAAAGCGUGGGGAGCGAACAGGAUUAGAUACCCUGGUAGUCCACGCCGUAAACGUUGGGCACUAGGUGUGGGACUCUAUCGACGGGUUCUGUGCCGUAGCUAACGCAUUAAGUGCCCCGCCUGGGGAGUACGGCCGCAAGGCUA
rnacentral:rRNA from 1 species